CGCACGGUGGACCCGGGAGGUGGCGGCUGCUCUUGUCGGCUCCGGGCGGCCCCCGCGCCGCAGCCCGCGCCCUGUCCGCGGCGGAGCCGCCCAGGAAAUGGACCCGAUGCCCUAAAAACGUAGCAGCAAAAGCAGGACUGGAAUCCAGACCCCCACCCUAAUUGGGACCUGGGAUCCUGGCCUUCUAACCCCACCUCAAGGCCCAGGCCUCCACGCGAGGAAACAGGCCCAGAGAGGGUGACUCACUUGCUCAGGGCACCCAGCCCUCCACCGAGACCACCCUCCCGCGAGCUCUCCCGCUUCCCAGUCCAGCCAACGUCGAGCACGUGGAAAAUGCCUGGCACAGUAGAUGUUUGUUGACUGACUGAUGGACGGAAUCAACGAAUGAGAGGAGACCAGUGUUUGUUACAGGAUCUCUGCAGGUGACGAUGAAAACAGGUCCAGCAAAAACAGAGCCGUAUUUUGAAUUCUAGCUGAAUGAACUGCCAGGACCCUC